rnacentral:lncRNA from 1 species
CGGACUCAGUGGUCGGCGGAAACGUGAUGAUCGCAGAGUGGCCAAGCUUGUUUCUCCAGGGGGCGCUCUUCUGAGGAUAUUUGGGCUCCCUCCGGAGUCGCGCUGUCUUGGGCCGCCUGAAGGUGGGUGACCUGCGGAUCUUCUCUUCUGUGUGGCUGUGGACGGCUUUCAACACUGCUUUCUUGGCCUUUAAAGCCUUCGGUUUGGCUUGGGCUUUAGGAGAGGCAGGAGCUUCCUUCGCUUUCGGCAGCAUCUUGUGAAAAGACAAGGU